rnacentral:rRNA from 1 species
GACGAACGCUGGCGGCGUGCUUAACACAUGCAAGUCGAACGGUGAAGCGCCUUCCUUUUUGGUGGGUGUGGAUGAGUGGCGAACGGGUGAGUAACACGUGAGUAACCUGCCCCCUUCUUCUGGAUAACCGCAUGAAAGUGUGGCUAAUACGGGAUAUUCUGGGUCUGUCGCAUGAUGGGUCUGGGAAAGAUAUUGUUUCGGUGGGGGAUGGGCUCGCGGCCUAUCAGCUUGUUGGUGGGGUGAUGGCCUACCAAGGCGGUGACGGGUAGCCGGCCUGAGAGGGUGGACGGUCACACUGGGACUGAGACACGGCCCAGACUCCUACGGGAGGCAGCAGUGGGGAAGAUUGCACAAUGGGCGCAAGCCUGAUGCAGCGACGCCGCGUGAGGGAUGGAGGCCUUCGGGUUGUGAACCUCUUUCGCCAGUGAAGCAGGCCUGCCUCGGUGGUGGGUGGGUGGACGGUAGCUGGAUAAGAAGCGCCGGCUAACUACGU